rnacentral:lncRNA from 1 species
GCCUGAUCCCCAGCACAUCGACAUCAAUGGGAGUCUUUCCACUCAUCUCAAUGGAGUCUGUGCCAGACCGAGGAGGGAUACAGAGGGUUGCAUGCAAUUCCAGGACGGGUCUGAGAAGCGCAGUGAAGAACUUGAAUCGUGUUGGACAUAUCUAAGGUGCAAAAAAAUGGUACCUGGGGCAUGUCUCUUGAGCUACCAGCUUUCUUAG